rnacentral:rRNA from 1 species
GAUCAUGGCUCAGGAUGAACGCUAGCUACAGGCUUAACACAUGCAAGUCGAGGGGAAACGAUAUUGGAAGCUUGCUUCCGAUAGGCGUCGACCGGCGGACGGGUGAGUAACGCGUGGGUAACCUGCCUCAUACAGGGGGAUAACAGUUAGAAAUGGCUGCUAAUACCGCAUAAGCGCACGGUACUGCAUGGUACAGUGUGAAAAACUCCGGUGGUAUGAGAUGGACCCGCGUUGGAUUAG